UACGAGUGCCCCAAGCGUUAUCCGGAAUCAUUGGGCGUAAAGGGUGUGUAGGUGGUUAUGUUAGUCUUUUGUAAAAUCUCCAGGCUUAACCUGGAAACCGCGAAAGAAACGGCAUGACUAGAGGGUGCGAGGGGUCUGUGGAACUCAUGGAGUAGGGGUGAAAUCCGUUGAUAUCAUGGGGAACACCAAAAGCGAAGGCAACAGACUGGCGCAUUCCUGACACUGAAACACGAAAGCGUGGGUAGCGAAUGGG
rnacentral:rRNA from 1 species